UCUUUCUUAGAAAAAUGCUAGGUAUCUUCUACAUGAGUGAGUAAGAGACACCUUUCCCGUCAGGGAAAGGUAAUAAAUAGUGUGUAUGUAAGUAUAAGGAAGAUCUGAUUAAAAUUUUUUCCUAUGUUGUAAUAUGUUCAAGAAAUAAAAAGUUUGUUUCAUAUAUCCUUUGUCAAUCUUUUGUGCUGGUAAAAAAGAAAGGUUGCGAUCUUCAGCCUUAACGAAGGAAGGAU
rnacentral:lncRNA from 1 species